rnacentral:misc_RNA from 1 species
UCCGGCUUAACACCGGCAGUCUCCUUAGAGUGCCCAACUUAAUGGUGGCAACUAGGGAUAAGGGUUGCGCUCGUUAAGGGACUUAACCCGACAUCUCACGAUACGAGCUGACGACAGCCAUGCAGCACCUGUCUCUCGGCCCCCGAAGGGGAAGCCCUAUCUCUAGGGUUGUCCGAGGAUGUCAAAUCCAGGUAAGGUUUUUCGCGUUGCAUCGAAUUGAACCACAUGCUCCACCGCUUGUGCGGGCCCCCGUCAAUUCCUUUGAGUUUUAAUCUUGCGACCGUACUUCCCAGGCGGGGUACUUAAUGCGUUAGCGUCGACACUGCAGGGGUCAAUUCCCGCAACAUCUAGUACCCAUCGUUUACGGCGUGGACUAC